rnacentral:sRNA from 1 species
UUUGAGAAGUGCUAGCUGCUACCACCAG